rnacentral:rRNA from 1 species
AGAGUUUGAUCCUGGCUCAGAACGAACGCUGGCGGCGCGUUUUAAGCAUGCAAGUCGAACGGGAUCCAGGUGCUUGCACUUGGUGAGAGUGGCGAACGGGUGAGUAACACGUAGGUGAUCUACCUAACAGUUGGGGAUAGCUCAUGGAAACAUGGGGUAAUACCGAAUGAGUUCUUAGAACUUUGGUUUUAAGAAGAAAGGAGCGUUUGCUUCGCUGUUGGAUGAGCCUGCGGCUGAUUAGCUUGUUGGUGGGGUAAAGGCCUACCAAGGCGACGAUCAGUAGCCGGCCUGAGAGGGUGACCGGCCACAUUGGGACUGAGACACGGCCCAGACUCCUACGGGAGGCAGCAGCUAAGAAUCUUCCGCAAUGGACGAAAGUCUGACGGAGCGACGCCGCGUGGACGAAGAAGGCCGAGAGGUUGUAAAGUCCUUUUAUAAGAGAAGAAUAACGACGGGAGGAAAUGCCCGUUGGAUGACGGUAUCUUAUGAAUAAGCUCCGGCCAAUUACGUGCCAGCGGCCGCGGUAACACGUAAGGAGCGAGCGUUGUUCGGAAUUAUUGGGCGUAAAGGGCUUGUAGGCGGUUUACUAAGUCUGAAGUAAAAUCUCACAGCUUAACUGUGAAUCUGCUUUGGAAACUGGUAGACUUGAAUCCGUGAGAGGAAACUGGAAUUCCUGGUGUAGGGGUGAAAUCUGCUGAUAUCAGGAAGAACACCUGAGGCGAAGGCGAGUUUCUGGCACAGGAUUGACGCUGAUGAGCGAAAGCGUAGGGAGCGAACAGGAUUAGAUACCCUGGUAGUCUACGCUGUAAACGAUGUGCACUUGGUGGUUGUCCAUGAGGAUGGCUGCCGUAGUUAACGCGUUAAGUGCACCGCCUGGGGAGUAUGCCGGCAACGGUGAAACUCAAAGGAAUUGACGGGGGCCCGCACAAGCGGUGGAGCAUGUGGUUUAAUUCGAUGAUACGCGAGGAACCUUACCAGGGCUUGACAUAUACAGGAAUGUGCUAGAGAUAGUGCAGCCGCUUGCGGCCUGUAUACAGGUGCUGCAUGGUUGUCGUCAGCUCGUGCCGUGAGGUGUUGGGUUAAGUCCCGCAACGAGCGCAACCCCUGUUGUCUGUUACCAUCAUUAAGUUGGGGACUCAGGCAAGACUGCCGGUGACAAACCGGAGGAAGGUGGGGAUGACGUCAAAUCAUCAUGGCCCUUAUGUCCUGGGCUACACACGUGCUACAAUGGCAGGUACAGAGCGCUGCGAAACAGUGAUGUUAAGCGAAACGCAAAAAGCCUGUCUCAGUUCGGAUUGGAGUCUGAAACUCGACUCCAUGAAGUUGGAAUCGCUAGUAAUCGCGCAUCAGAAUGGCGCGGUGAAUACGUUCCCGGGCCUUGUAC